rnacentral:lncRNA from 1 species
UCCAACUAUUGAAUAAUUAAGAAACAAAGCUUUCUAUCAGUAGAAGCAGUGAUACAUACACAAGAUGUUCAAUCAAAACAACCCCAGAAAUCAAUACUCGUAAAUUUCCUCGUUAACAAGUUUGAUGUUUUUCACCAUCGAUUUUCUACUCUUUUCAAUUCCUCAAUGCAUAAUUUGAUCAAUUACUCUACCUUCACCACUUGGCCUACAUUGUUAUUUUUACUGCACAAAUAAUUCUUUAUUCUCUUGAAUAAUUUGUCAUUGUUUACCUGUUGAGUGUUAAUUUCUGAUUUUGAAAUGAUAUACUUGUCAAUUUCAGAUCUGAUCCAAGAUAAUUCCAAGUCAUUUAAUCAAUAUAGUGCAAAUUAAGAAACAAUUUAUUUUGACUUCUCAAUGCAAAGUUUGUUUCAAA